UUGGAGAGUUUGAUUCUGGCUCAGGACGAACGCUGGCGGCGUGCUUAACACAUGCAAGUCGAACGGUAAGGCCCUUCGGGGUACACGAGUGGCGAACGGGUGAGUAACACGUGGGUAAUCUGCCCUGCACAUCGGGAUAAGCCUGGGAAACUGGGUCUAAUACCGGAUAGGACCACAGAACACAUGUCCUGUGGUGGAAAGCUUUUGCGGUGUGGGAUGGGCCCGCGGCCUAUCAGCUUGUUGGUGGGGUGAUGGCCUACCAAGGCGACGACGGGUAGCCGGCCUGAGAGGGUGUCCGGCCACACUGGGACUGAGAUACGGCCCAGACUCCUACGGGAGGCAGCAGUGGGGAAUAUUGCACAAUGGGCGAAAGCCUGAUGCAGCGACGCCGCGUGGGGGAUGACGGCCUUCGGGUUGUAAACCUCUUUCACCAUCGACGAAGGUCCGGGUUUUCUCGGAUUGACGGUAGGUGGAGAAGAAGCACCGGCCAACUACGUGCCAGCAGCCGCGGUAAUACGUAGGGUGCGAGCGUUGUCCGGAAUUACUGGGCGUAAAGAGCUCGUAGGUGGUUUGUCGCGUUGUUCGUGAAAUCUCACGGCUUAACUGUGAGCGUGCGGGCGAUACGGGCAGACUUGAGUACUGCAGGGGAGACUGGAAUUCCUGGUGUAGCGGUGGAAUGCGCAGAUAUCAGGAGGAACACCGGUGGCGAAGGCGGGUCUCUGGGCAGUAACUGACGCUGAGGAGCGAAAGCGUGGGGAGCGAACAGGAUUAGAUACCCUGGUAGUCCACGCCGUAAACGGUGGGUACUAGGUGUGGGUUUCCUUCCUUGGGAUCCGUGCCGUAGCUAACGCAUUAAGUACCCCGCCUGGGGAGUACGGCCGCAAGGCUAAAACUCAAAGAAAUUGACGGGGGCCCGCACAAGCGGCGGAGCAUGUGGAUUAAUUCGAUGCAACGCGAAGAACCUUACCUGGGUUUGACAUGCACAGGACGCCGGCAGAGAUGUCGGUUCCCUUGUGGCCUGUGUGCAGGUGGUGCAUGGCUGUCGUCAGCUCGUGUCGUGAGAUGUUGGGUUAAGUCCCGCAACGAGCGCAACCCUUGUCUCAUGUUGCCAGCGGGUAAUGCCGGGGACUCGUGAGAGACUGCCGGGGUCAACUCGGAGGAAGGUGGGGAUGACGUCAAGUCAUCAUGCCCCUUAUGUCCAGGGCUUCACACAUGCUACAAUGGCCGGUACAAAGGGCUGCGAUGCCGCGAGGUUAAGCGAAUCCUUUUAAAGCCGGUCUCAGUUCGGAUCGGGGUCUGCAACUCGACCCCGUGAAGUCGGAGUCGCUAGUAAUCGCAGAUCAGCAACGCUGCGGUGAAUACGUUCCCGGGCCUUGUACACACCGCCCGUCACGUCAUGAAAGUCGGUAACACCCGAAGCCAGUGGCCUAACCCUUUGGGAGGGAGCUGUCGAAGGUGGGAUCGGCGAUUGGGACGAAGUCGUAACAAGGUAGCCGUACCGGAAGGUGCGGCUGGAUCACCUCCUUU
rnacentral:rRNA from 1 species